CCUACGGGAGGCAGCAGUGAGGAAUAUUGGUCAAUGGCCGGAAGGCUGAACCAGCCAUGCCGCGUGAAGGUCAGUGCCCUAUGGGCGUUAAACUUCUUUUGUGCGGGAGCAAUAAUGGUCACGUGUGGCCAGACGAGAGUACCGUACGAAUAAGCAUCGGCUAACUCCGUGCCAGCAGCCGCGGUAAUACGGGGGAUGCAAGCGUUAUCCGGAUUUAUUGGGUUUAAAGGGUGCGUAGGCUGUGAGGUAAGUCAGCGGUGAAAUGCCCCGGCUCAACGGGGUGAAGUGCCAUUGAUACUGCCAGGCUGGAGUGCGGAUGCCGUGGGAGGAAUGUGUGGUGUAGCGGUGAAAUGCAUAGAUAUCACACAGAACACCGAUUGCGAAGGCAGCAUACCGGUGCACAACUGACGCUCAGGCACGAAAGCGUGGGUAUCGAACAGGAUUAGAUACCCUGGUAGUC
rnacentral:rRNA from 1 species